CCAAGAAUAUGGGUGGUGACGCACAUGGAGGAUGAACAGCUUGUCAUGAUCGAAGGGCAUUCACACAUACAUGAUGCCGAGGUGCUGAACAUGGAGGGGAAGGAUGCUGCUAUAUAAACUGAAGAGUAGGGAGCUGAAAGAUGUAGAGUAUCUUCAACACUAUCCAUAACAUACAUACAUUUUCCUAGCUAGCUAGGUAUAAGUUACUUACUGUGAGGUCUAGAUUUCAAAUAAUGAGUCAGCACAGUACCUCCCAAUCUCAAGAAGCAUAUCCACCACCGAGCCAGCAGGCGCAUCGUCCUCCUCGUCCUCCUCCACCACCACAAUAUUCCGAUCCAACACCUGCAGCUGAAAAAAAGAGGUAUAAAUGUUGGCGUUGCUGUUGUGUGUAUUGUCGCUGCGAGCGCCUCUACAGUUGGCGUUGUUGUGUGCGUUGUUGCUGCGAGUGCCUCUCCAAUAUUUUUUUUUGAUGAGCGUGAUUCACCAUUACUCAAAUCACAUCUCUGGGAAUCCUUGUAGGAAAUUGACCUAAUUUGUUUAGUAUCCAUUUAUGUGAUAUAUUAUCUUUUUCCUGUAAUGUGAAUCUCAACUAUUUCAAUUAACUAAGCAACAACAAUGGUGUUUUUCUUUCAAA